rnacentral:rRNA from 1 species
GGAGUUAGCCGGUGCUUCUUCUGUGAGUGAUGUCCUUCCUGCCGGCUAUUAACCCGCAGGCCUUCUUCCUCACUGAAAGUGCUUUACAACCCGAAGGCCUUCUUCACACACGCGGCAUGGCUGGAUCAGGGUUUGCCCCCAUUGUCCAAUAUUCCCCACUGCUGCCUCCCGUAGGAGUCUGGGCCGUGUCUCAGUCCCAGUGUGGCUGAUCAUCCUCUCAGACCAGCUACGGAUCGUCGCCUUGGUGAGCCGUUACCUCACCAACCAGCUAAUCCGACAUAGGCUCAUCCGAUAGCGCGAGGCCCGAAGGUCCCCCGCUUUCCCCCGUAGGGCGUAUGCGGUAUUAGCCUGGGUUUCCCCAGGUUAUCCCCCCACUACCGGGGCAGAUUCCUAUGCAUUACUCACCCGUCCGCCGCUCGCCACCAGGGAGCAAGCUCCCCGUGCUGCCGCUCGACUUGCAUGUGUUAGGCCUGCCGCCAGCGUUCAAUCUGAGCCAUAAUCAAACUCUGA